UACGUAGGGGGCGAGCGUUGUCCGGAAUCAUUGGGCGUAAAGCGCGUGUAGGCGGCCCGGAAAGUCUGGUGUGAAAACUUGAGGCUCAACCUCAAGCUGUCACUGGAUACUAUCGGGCUUGAGUCCGGAAGAGGAGAGUGGAAUUCCUGGUGUAGCGGUGGAAUGCGCAGAUAUCAGGAGGAACACCGGUGGCGAAGGCGGCAUCCUGGACCAAUAUUGACGCUGAGGAGCGAAAGCCAGGGGAGCAAACGGG
rnacentral:rRNA from 1 species